rnacentral:rRNA from 1 species
AACGAACGCUGGCGGCAGGCCUAACACAUGCAAGUCGAACGCUCCGCAAGGGGAGUGGCAGACGGGUGAGUAACACGGGGGAAUCUUCCUGUUGGUACGGAAUAGCUCAGGGAAACUUGGGGUAAUACCGUAUAAGCCCGAGAGGGGAAAGAUUUAGCGCGGACAGAUGAGCCCGCGUCUGAUUAGCUAGUUGGUGAGGUAAUGGCUCACCAAGGCGACGAUCAGUAGCUGGUCUGAGAGGAUGCCCAGCCACACUGGGACUGAGACACGGCCCAGACUCCUACGGGAGGCAGCAGUGGGGAAUAUUGGACAAUGGGCGCAAGCCUGAUCCAGCCAUGCCGCGUGAGUGACGAAGGUCUUCGGAUUGUAAAGCUCUUUUACCAGGGACGAUAAUGACGGUACCUGGAGAAUAAGCCCCGGCUAACUUCGUGCCAGCCGCCGCCGUAAAAC